rnacentral:rRNA from 2 species
GACGAACGCUGGCGGCGUGCCUAAUACAUGCAAGUCGAACGAACUCUGGUAUUGAUUGGUGCUUGCAUCAUGAUUUACAUUUGAGUGAGUGGCGAACUGGUGAGUAACACGUGGGAAACCUGCCCAGAAGCGGGGGAUAACACCUGGAAACAGAUGCUAAUACCGCAUAACAACUUGGACCGCAUGGUCCGAGUUUGAAAGAUGGCUUCGGCUAUCACUUUUGGAUGGUCCCGCGGCGUAUUAGCUAGAUGGUGGGGUAACGGCUCACCAUGGCAAUGAUACGUAGCCGACCUGAGAGGGUAAUCGGCCACAUUGGGACUGAGACACGGCCCAAACUCCUACGGGAGGCAGCAGUAGGGAAUCUUCCACAAUGGACGAAAGUCUGAUGGAGCAACGCCGCGUGAGUGAAGAAGGGUUUCGGCUCGUAAAACUCUGUUGUUAAAGAAGAACAUAUCUGAGAGUAACUGUUCAGGUAUUGACGGUAUUUAACCAGAAAGCCACGGCUAACUACGUGCCAGCAGCCGCGGUAAUACGUAGGUGGCAAGCGUUGUCCGGAUUUAUUGGGCGUAAAGCGAGSSSMRGSSGKUUUUUAAGUCUGAUGUGAAAGCCUUCGGCUCAACCGAAGAAGUGCAUCGGAAACUGGGAAACUUGAGUGCAGAAGAGGACAGUGGAACUCCAUGUGUAGCGGUGAAAUGCGUAGAUAUAUGGAAGAACACCAGUGGCGAARGCGGCUGUCUGGUCUGUAACUGACGCUGAGGCUCGAAAGUAUGGGUAGCAAACAGGAUUAGAUACCCUGGUAGUCCAUACCGUAAACGAUGAAUGCUAAGUGUUGGAGGGUUUCCGCCCUUCAGUGCUGCAGCUAACGCAUUAAGCAUUCCGCCUGGGGAGUACGGCCGCAAGGCUGAAACUCAAAGGAAUUGACGGGGGCCCGCACAAGCGGUGGGAGCAUGUGGUUUAAUUCGAAGCUACGCGAAGAACCUUACCAGGUCUUGACAUACUAUGCAAAUCUAAGAGAUUAGACGUUCCCUUCGGGGACAUGGAUACAGGUGGUGCAUGGUUGUCGUCAGCUCGCGUCGUGAGAUGUUGGGUUAAGUCCCGCAACGAGCGCAACCCUUAUUAUCAGUUGCCAGCAUUAAGUUGGGCACUCUGGUGAGACUGCCGGUGACAAACCGGAGGAAGGUGGGGAUGACGUCAAAUCAUCAUGCCCCUUAUGACCUGGGCUACACACGUGCUACAAUGGAUGGUACAACGAGUUGCGAACUCGCGAGAGUAAGCUAAUCUCUUAAAGCCAUUCUCAGUUCGGAUUGUAGGCUGCAACUCGCCUACAUGAAGUCGGAAUCGCUAGUAAUCGCGGAUCAGCAUGCCGCGGUGAAUACGUUCCCGGGCCUUGUACACACCGCCCGUCACACCAUGAGAGUUUGUAACACCCAAAGUCGGUGGGGUAACCUUUUAGGAACCAGCCGCCUAAGGUGGGACAGAUGAUUAGGGUGAAG